UGGCUCAGAACGAACGCUGGCGGCGCGUCUUAAGCAUGCAAGUCGAACGGCAAGAGGUAGCAAUACCUCCUAGAGUGGCGGACUGGUGAGUAACACGUGGGUGACAUACCCUUCAGAUGGGGAUAGCUAUUAGAAAUAGUAGAUAAUACCGAAUACGAGCACAGGGGUUAGAGAUCUGUGAGGAAAGGAGCUAAGGCUCCGCUGAAGGAAUGGCCUGCGGCCCAUUAGCUAGUUGGUGAGGUAAGAGCCCACCAAGGCGAUGAUGGGUAUCCGGCCUUAGAGGGUGAACGGACACAUUGGGACUGAGAUACGGCCCAGACUCCUACGGGAGGCAGCAGCUAAGAAUAUUCCGCAAUGGACGAAAGUCUGACGGAGCGACGCCGCGUGGAUGAAGAAGGCCGGAAGGUUGUAAAAUCCUUUUGAAACUGAAGAAUAAGCGUUGUAGGGAAUGACAGCGUGGUGACAGUAGGUUUUGAAUAAGCAACGGCUAAUUACGUGCCAGCCGCGGC
rnacentral:rRNA from 1 species